rnacentral:rRNA from 1 species
UACGUAGGGGUGCAAGCGUUUAAUCGGAAUACUGGGCGUAAAGCGUGCGCAGGCGGUGAUGUAAGACAGGUGUGAAAUCCCCGGGCUUAACCUGGGACUGCAUUUGUGACUGCAUCGCUGGAGUGGCGGCAGAGGGGGAUGGAAUCCGCGUGUAGCAGUGAAAUGCGUAGAUAUGCGGAGGAACACCGAUGGCGAAGGCAAUCCCCUGGGCCUGCACUGACGCUCAUGCACGAAAGCGUGGGGAGCGAACAGG